GUUUCUUGCAGGUCAAUCUGGCCUGCAAAUUGGAAGAAAGAAUCAACAUGAAUUUAAUCCAACCAAUACCAGCUUCUGCACGUGUAAAAUUCAACGGUUCACUUGAAAGGUUUAACUUUUAUAUUGGUAACUCAUGCUAAGAUUCAAUCAUGUAAAUAAAAAAGUUAAGAUCCAACCAUGUAAAAAAAAUAAAAAAUAAAAAAGAAAAAACCCCGGCAAGGUCAUGGUUGUCAAAUGGAAAUUGGCUUCUUAGAAAUUCAAAUUGAGGUGUUGGUGAUGCUAGACAAGGCACAACUGUGAAUGCAUUGUUGAGCCGCAGAAUGGCUCCAACACAAGAUAAUGAUCAAACUAAGGAUUAGUUCCUUCUUUUUGAGAACCAAAUGACUUAUCGUGCAUCAAUAUUCUACAGUCACAACUGCAAUGGUAACCCAUCUCUACCCCUCUACUCAACUCAACUCAACUCAUCUCUACCCCUCUACUACCAAGUGGAAUUAGGUUGGGGUGGAGGCGUUGGGGAGAUCAUACCUAAUAAGGAAAUUAAAGAUGGA
rnacentral:misc_RNA from 1 species